rnacentral:rRNA from 1 species
AUUGAACGCUGGCGGCAGGCCUAACACAUGCAAGUCGAACGGAUCGCCGGACGGGGGAGUAAUGCCUAGGAAUCUGCCUGGUAGUGGGGGAUAACGACCGGAAACGGGCGCUAACACCACCUACUCUCAGAUUAGCAUAGGUCGGAUUAGCUGGUGGGUGGGGGAAAGGCCGACCAAGGCGACGAUCCGUAACUGGUGUGAGUGGAUGAUCAGUCACACUGGAACUGAGACAAGGCCCAGACUCCGACGGGAGGCAGCAGUGGGGAAUUUGGGACAAUGGGGGAAACCCUUAUCCAGCCAUCCCGCGUGUGCGAGGAAGGCCUUCGGGUUGUAAAGUACUUUUGGCAGGAAAGCGGUACCUGCAGAAUAAGCACCGGCUAACUCCGUGCCAGCAGCCGCGGUAAUUC